rnacentral:rRNA from 1 species
UACAGGGGGGGCAAGCGUUGUUCGGAAUUACUGGGCGUAAAGGGCUCGUAGGUGGCCAACUAAGUCAGACGUGAAAUCCCUCAGCUUAACUGGGGAACUGCGUCUGAUACUGGAUGGCUUGAGUUUGGGAGAGGGAUGCAGAAUUCCAGGUGUAGCGGUGAAAUGCGUAGAUAUCUGGAGGAAUACCGGUGGCGAAGGCGGCAUCCUGGACCGACAUUGACGCUGAGGAGCGAAAGCCAGGGGAGCAAACGGG